rnacentral:rRNA from 1 species
CCUACGGGUGACAGCAGUGGGGAAUAUUGCACAAUGGAGGAAACCCUGAUGCAGCGACGCCGCGUGAGUGAAGAAGUAUUUCGUUAUGUAAAGCUCUAUCAGCAGGGAAGAAAAUGACCGUUCCUGAGUAAGAAGCCCCGGCUAACUACGUGCCAGCAGCCGCGGUAAUACGUAGGGGGCAAGCGUUCUCCGGAUUUACUGGGUGUAAAGGGAGCGUAGACGGCAGUGCAAGUCUGGCGUGAAAGGCGGGGGCUCAACCUCCGGACUGCUCUGGAAACUGUACGGCUGGAGUGCGGGAGAGGUAAGUGGAAUUCCUGGUGUAGCAGUGAAAUGCGUAGAUAUUAGGAGGAACACCAGUGGCGAAGGCGACUUACUGGACUGUAACUGACGUUGAGGCUCGAAAGCGUGGGGAGCAAACAGGAUUAGAUACCCUUGUAGUC